ACGGAGGGUGCGAGCGUUGUCCGGAAUCACUGGGCGUAAAGGGCGCGUAGGUGGCUCGUUAAGUUGCCGGUGAAAUCCCGGGGCUCAACUCCGGGGCUGCCGGUAAGACUGGCGGGCUCGAGCACGGUAGAGGCAGAUGGAAUUCCCGGUGUAGCGGUGGAAUGCGUAGAGAUCAGGAGGAACACCGGUGGCGAAGGCGGGACUCUGGGCCGAUACUGACGCUGAGGAGCGAAAGCGUGGGGAGCGAACAGGA
rnacentral:rRNA from 1 species